AUUGAACGCUGGCGGCAUGCCUUACACAUGCAAGUCGAACGGCAGCACGGGAGCAAUCCUGGUGGCGAGUGGCGAACAGGUGAGUAAUAUAUCGGAACGUGCCCAGUCGUGGGGGAUAACGUAGCGAAAGCUACGCUAAUACCGCAUACGAUCUAUGGAUGAAAGCGGGGGAUCGCAAGACCUCGCGCGAUUGGAGCGGCCGAUAUCAGAUUAGGUAGUUGGUGAGGUAAAGGCUCACCAAGCCGACGAUCUGUAGCUGGUCUGAGAGGACGACCAGCCACACUGGGACUGAGACACGGCCCAGACUCCUACGGGAGGCAGCAGUGGGGAAUUUUGGACAAUGGGCGCAAGCCUGAUCCAGCAAUGCCGCGUGCAGGAUG
rnacentral:rRNA from 1 species